UUGAAGUGUGUGAGAACACAGCAGUAUGUUUUCAAUGAGAAAAAUGAAGUGAUAUUUUGACUGAUGUGAUGCGUGCUUUUAUGGCUUUCCACCCCUAUUUGAAACUUCCUGUCUGCUUGAUGUAGUAUCAGAGGCAAUAAAUGUCUAUAGCUUUUAAACAGAGCCCACCUGAGCUACAGGGGCUGGCAUUUUUGUUAGAUGAAAAAAGAUACCCAUAUUCUUCAGUUUCCCAUAUAGAAUAACAGAAUAAAAGUGAUGAAAAGAACCUAAUGAAACCAACAGCAAUGACAGCAUCCUCACAAGCAUUUGAGACGCACAUAAAAGCACUAUGUAAUCUUAGUUUAAUGAAAAUAUAAUGAGAUUUCCACCACAGUCAUCUGCUAAAUUGCAAUUUGUGUCUAACAGCUUGAAUGGAAGAUUUAUCCUGUUGCUGAAAGCUGCACGGCAGUUGCCAAAUUCCCAGAAAUUCUGAAUAAAACAAAGCAAUUAAUUGUUUUAUCUAAUAAUCAGUUCUUCUGUUUCAUUUAAUUUUCUUUACUCUGCUUGUCCCCAACCUGUGAUUACAUGCCUUCUCUCAUAUUACCUGCCAUCGGCACUAAAACCUUUCCAUCAGCAUUUUAGCCUUAAGAACUCUGGAAAUCUGUCUAUAAUGCGAAAGUUAAAUUGGAAUUAAAAGACUUAAUUUAAACUCA